rnacentral:rRNA from 1 species
CCUACGGGAGGCAGCAGUGAGGAAUAUUGGUCAAUGGGCGCGAGCCUGAACCAGCCAAGUCGCGUGCGGGAGGACGGCCCUACGGGUUGUAAACCUCUUUUGCCGGGGAGCAAAGGGCGCCACGUGUGGCGUCACUGAGAGUACCCGGAGAAAAAGCAUCGGCUAACUCCGUGCCAGAAGCCGGGGUAAUACGGAGGAUGCGAGCGUUAUCCGGAUUUUUUGGGUUUAAAGGGUGCGUAGGCGGAUCGUUAAGUCAGUGGUCAAAUUGAGGGGCUCAACCCCUUCCCGCCAUUGAAACUGGCGUGCUUGAGUGGAAGAGAAGUAGGCGGAAUGCGUGGUGUAGCGGUGAAAUGCAUAGAGAUCACACAGAACCCCGAUUGCGAAGGCAGCAUGCCGGCUUCCGACUGACGCUGAAGCACGAAAGCGUGGGGAUCGAACAGGAUUAGAUACCCGAGUAGUC